GGCGGCCCAAGCGGUUUCAAACGGCUUAGAGCAGGCCGCUUGGUUCUGACCCAGCUGAGAAAUACUCUUAAUUCUAAGGAAAACCUGGAAGCACAAUGGGAGAUGACAGUGAGUGGUUGAAACUGCCAGUUGAUCAGAAAUGUGAACACAACUGUGGAAAGCAAGGUUAAGUGGGUAUGAAGAGGCCCUGAAGAUCUUCCAGAAAAUAAAGGAUGAAAAGAGCCCAGAGUGGUCCAAAUUUUUAGGAUUGAUCAAAAAAUUUGUCACUGAUUCCAAUGCAGUGGUUCAAUUGAAAGGAUUAGAAGCUGCACUUGUUUAUGUUGAAAAUGCCCAUGUAGCAGGAAAACCACAGGAGAAGUUGUGUCAGGUGUUGUAAGUAAGGUGUUCAAUCAACCUAAAGCUAAAGCCAAGGAGCUGGGCAUAGAGAUCUGUCUUAUGUACAUAGAGAUUGAGAAAGGAGAGGCUGUUCAAGAAGAGCUCCUGAAAGGCUUGGACAAUAAGAAUCCCAAGAUCAUAGUGGCCUGUAUAGAGACACUGAGGAAAGCCUUAAUGAAUUUGGUUCCAAAAUCAUCUUGCUUAAGCCAAUUAUCAAAGUGUUGCCAAAACUCUUUGAGUCUCGAGAGAAGGCUGUUCGAGAUGAAGCCAAACUAAUUGCUGUGGAGAUUUACAGAUGGAUUCGGGAUGCUCUGAGACCCCCAUUACAAAAUAUAAACUCUGUUCAGGUGA
rnacentral:lncRNA from 1 species